CUGGCGGCGUGCCUAAUACAUGCAAGUCGAACGAGUUCUGAUUAUUGAAAGGUGCUUGCAUCUUGAUUUAAUUUUGAACGAGUGGCGGACGGGUGAGUAACACGUGGGUAACCUGCCCUUAAGUGGGGGAUAACAUUUGGAAACAGAUGCUAAUACCGCAUAAAUCCAAAAACCGCAUGGUUCUUGGCUGAAAGAUGGCGUAAGCUAUCGCUUUUGGAUGGACCCGCGGCGUAUUAGCCAGUUGGUGAGGUAACGGCUCACCAAGGCAAUGAUACGUAGCCGAACUGAGAGGUUGAUCGGCCACAUUGGGACUGAGACACGGCCCAAACUCCUACGGGAGGCAGCAGUAGGGGAUCUUCCACAAUGGACGCAAGUCUGAUGGAGCAACGCCGCGUGAGUGAAGAAGGCUUUCGGGUCGUAAAACUCUGUUGUUGGAGAAGAAUGGUCGGCAGAGUAACUGUUGUCGGCGUGACGGUAUCCAACCAGAAAGCCACGGCUAACUACGUGCCAGCAGCCGCGGUAAUACGUAGGUGGCAAGCGUUAUCCGGAUUUAUUGGGCGUAAAGCGAGCGCAGGCGGUUUUUUAAGUCUGAUGUGAAAGCCCUCGGCUUAACCGAGGAAGUGCAUCGGAAACUGGGAAACUUGGGUGCAGAAGAGGACAGUGGAACUCCAUGUGUAGCGGUGAAAUGCGUAGAUAUAUGGAAGAACACCAGUGGCGAAGGCGGCUGUCUGGUCUGUAACUGACGCUGAGGCUCGAAAGCAUGGGUAGCGAACAGGAUUAGAUACCCUGGUAGUCCAUGCCGUAAGCGAUGAAUGCUAGGUGUUGGAGGGUUUCCGCCCUUCAGUGCCGCAGCUAACGCAUUAAGCAUUCCGCCUGGGGAGUACGACCGCAAGGUUGAAACUCAAAGGAAUUGACGGGGGCCCGCACAAGCGGUGGAGCAUGUGGUUUAAUUCGAAGCAACGCGAAGAACCUUACCAGGUCUUGACAUCUUUUGAUCACCUGAGAGAUCAGGUUUCCCCUUCGGGGGCAAAAUGACAGGUGGUGCAUGGUUGUCGUCAGCUCGUGUCGUGAGAUGUUGGGUUAAGUCCCGCAACGAGCGCAACCCUUAUGACUAGUUGCCAGCAUUUAGUUGGGCACUCUAGUAAGACUGCCGGUGACAAACCGGAGGAAGGUGGGGAUGACGUCAAAUCAUCAUGCCCCUUAUGACCUGGGCUACACACGUGCUACAAUGGAUGGUACAACGAGUUGCGAGACCGCGAGGUCAAGCUAAUCUCUUAAAGCCAUUCUCAGUUCGGACUGUAGGCUGCAACUCGCCUACACGAAGUCGGAAUCGCUAGUAAUCGCGGAUCAGCACGCCGCGGUGAAUACGUUCCCGGGCCUUGUACACACCGCCCGCCACACCAUGAGAGUUUGUAACACCCGAAGCCGGUGGCGUAACCCUUUUAGGGAGCGAGCCGUCUAAGGUGGGACAAAUGAUUAGGGUGAAGUAAUA
rnacentral:rRNA from 1 species